rnacentral:rRNA from 1 species
UAAACGACUCUCGGCAACGGAUAUCUCGGCUCUCGCAUCGAUGAAGAACGUAGCAAAAUGCGAUACUUGGUGUGAAUUGCAGAAUCCCGUGAACCAUCGAGUCUUUGAACGCAAGUUGCGCCCGAAGCCAUUAGGCCGAGGGCACGCCUGCCUGGGCGUCACAC